rnacentral:rRNA from 1 species
UCCUGGCUCAGGACGACGCUGGCGGCGUGCCUAACACAUGCAAGUCGAGCGGGGACAAUGAAAAUGAAAGCUUCGGCCGGAUUUCUUAUUGUUCUAGCGGCGGACGGGUGAGUAACGCGUGAGCAAUCUGUCUCAGACAGGGGGAUAACGCAGCGAAAGUUGCACUAAUACCGCAUGAGACCACAGAGCCGCAUGGCUUAGGGGUCAAAGGAGCAAUCCGGUCUGAGGUGAGCUCGCGUCCUAUUAGGUAGUUGGUGAGGUAACGGCCCACCAAGCCUGCGAUAGGUAGCCGACCUGAGAGGGUGAUCGGCCACACUGGAACUGAGACACGGUCCAGACUCCUACGGGAGGCAGCAGUGGGGAAUAUUGGGCAAUGGGCGAAAGCCUGACCCAGCAACGCCGCGUGAGUGAAGAAGGUCUUCGGAUUGUAAAUCUCUGUCCUAAGAGAAGAGGGGAAGACGGUAUCUUAGGAGGAAGCCCCGGCUAACUACGUGCC